UGGGCAUCGAACAGGGACUUACAUAUGGCAAUUAUGGUACGAGAUUAAAAAAAUUUGGACAGUAAUAGAGAUUGUAAAGAAACCUUGGAUUGCAGUGGGUAAUCCAGUCGACCUCCCAUUAUUAUGGUAAAAUUUAUAGUUAAUGUUGACCUCAGCUUCUACAUGGGUGACGUAUUUCGACCAUACUGUACACUUGGACAAAUGUUAGCGUCUUCUUUGAGGGUGAAGGAGAUGAUUGUGUGCACUCUGACGAUCAAAUCAAUCACUUAUAAGAGUGUAUUUUGGUGUGGGAUGUGUUUACACGUAGGUAUGAGGAUCAAAUCAAUCAAUUAUAAGAGUGUAUUUUGGUGUGGGAUGUGUUUACACAUGAGUGUGAGAUUUUACUGUAGAAGAUGAUAAAUAGUAUUAUUUCGAACGUUUAGGAUGUUUUUAAGGAGCCGCACCAAAUCAAGCAACGGAAUUCAGGUAGUGGGGGGUGGAGUGGAUGAAUAAAAAUCAAUCCCAAAACUAAAGAAUAAUUAUGAUAUCUUAAAGCUAAUUUUUUAUUUAUUUCUAAUUGUUUUGUACUUUUUGUUACUAAGGUUCGUUCAAUAAACUCAUUCACCAGAUAAGAGAAUGUCAUCAUCGAUUCGUCAAGUUAAUAAUUGGAAGUCGGAAAGAUCUAGUAUAGAUUUUCAUAUUUCCUUUACUUUUUGGAAUCAGUAUCUUGAUCCACUUGGUUGCAUCCGUCCCUACCCCACACAGGUUUUAAAUCUUCAUCUACGAUCGGAUACUUUUUGAACUUCCCUAUGACUUCCAUCAAAGAGAAGCUUUUUCUAAUAUACUCUAGUUGCAAGUCUGUCAUUGCGUUACGAAAUUCUUAGGGGAAACAAAGCUCUGAGAAGUAGAAGCUUCCUAGCAAAGCUCCGCAUCUCUCAGGUCCAAUAGAGCCAUAGAUCAUGGAACAAAUAGGGUAGGUAAGUCCAAGCACCACACUACACUGGUAGCACAACCAUGAUACGUUGGACACAUCACUCCUCUGCAGCACUGCAGCGAAAGCCUCCUUGUAUUUGCACUCAACUAUCAAUCUAGCAAGGUCUUUUAUUGGAUCAAGAGGUACCUCGAGCUAUUACGACAGCAAAAUUUCAAUUCAUGAGCAAACAAAGUUCAUGCUGCUUGCAUUUAGAAAAGAAAAGGGGGAAAAUGAUUAAAAAAACAGAGGGGGGAGUGGGAGCAGAGCAAACCUUGUCAUGGAAACCAACCAAAGGACCAUUACUCAGUUGGCUACCCAACGGGUUUGCUUUGCUGCUUUGCUUUAGAAUUUGACCCUGCAAGGCUGCAACGGCAAGGGAUAACUGUUGGAAAUAUUUGCAUCACCGAUGAAAAUGGAGAAGAAAUAAUAUAGAAAACUAAUCAAGAAGAUGAAUAUAAUCAAGAACAACAAACCGAACAAUGCAGAAAAUAAUAAUCAAGAAGAUGAAAUGAAGAAGAUGAAGAACACAACGAAUAUGAAAGCUUGAACACGUAAUCGCUGUCCUCAAACGAUAUUUGCCCCGUCUCGGUAUUAAUUUUGGUGCUUAAAGGGUCUCGCGGCAAACGGUUUGAAGGAUUGAUCAAGCCUUGAUGUGGAGAAACACAAAAGUACAAGCAUUUCUCCACCCGAACUUCAUGAACACAAGGAGGAAUUCUAUGAAUAUGAAGAAAGAAUGUUUUGAUUCUUUGAUUGUGGAAUGUAAUUUGGAUCUCAAUGUUUUCCAUA